GAGAUGGAGUCUUGCUGUGUUGCCCAGCUCACUGCAACCUCUGACUCCUGGGUUCAAGGAAUUCUCCUGCCUCAGCCUCCCAAGUAGCUGGGAUUACAGGCGCCCGCCACCACGCCUGGCUAAUUUUUUUGUAUUUGUACUAGAGACAAGGUUUCAUCAUGUUGGCCAGGGUGGUCUCAAACUCCUGACCUCUGGUGAUCCACCUGCCUCGGCUUCCCAAAGUGCUGGGAUUACAGGUGUGAGCCACCGUGUUUUCUGAAGCUUAUGGCACAUAACAGUCCCAAAGCAGAAGUGACAUGAAAACAAAGGGAUUGGGAGAAUAAUGAAAAACUGAGGCCAUGGAGACACAUGUAUGAUCCUUACUAAAAACAAGUUCUAGACGAGCAGUAUCCAAUACAAUAUAAUGUAAGCCACUAUGUAAAUUUAAAAUUUUCUGAUAUCCACAUUGAAAAGAGUACAAGAUGGCCGGGCGCCGUGGCUCAUGCCUGUAAUCCCAGCACUUUGGGAGGCUGAGGCAGGCGGAUCACCUGACGUCAGGAGUUCGAGACCAGCUGAGGCAGGAGAAUCGCUUGAACCCGGGAGGCAGAGGUUGCAGUGAGUUGAGAUCGUGCCACUGCACUCUAGCCUGGGCGACAAAGCAAGACUCUGUCUUGAAAAUAAAAGAUAAAAAUAGUACAAGAGACUGGACAUAGUGGCACACUCCUGUAAAUCCCAGCUACUUGAAAUUCUAAGGCAGGAGAACUGCUUGAACCCGAGAGGCGGAGGUUGCACGAUCCUUCUGCCUUAGCCUCCUGAGUAGCUGCAAUUAUAGGCGCCCACCACCAUGCCCGGCUAAUUGCUGAAUUUUUGGUAGAGAUGGGGUUUCACCAUGUUGGCCAGGCUGGUCUUGAACUCCUGACCUCAAGAUCUACCAGCCUCAGCCUCCCAAAGUGCUGGGAUUACAGGCUAAGCCACCACACCAGGCUGCAGCUAGCAUUUUUUAAAUCACACCUGUAAUCCCAACACUUUGUGGGGCAAAGGAGGGAGGAUCACUUGAGCCCAGGAGCUUAAGACCCGCCUGGGCCAUAUAGUGAAACUCCCAUCUCUACAGCGUGGAAAAAAAACAAAAAAAACAAAAAACGUGUGUCUGUAAUCCCAGCUAUUCAGGAAGUUGAAGUGGGAGAAUCACUUGAGCCCAAGAGGUCAAGGGUGCAGUAAGCUAUGACUGUGCCACUACACACCAGCCUGUGUGACAGAGUGAGACUCCAUCUCUUAAAAAAAAAAGUUAAGUUCUGGACUUCUGUCAAACUUUACUCAAUCUACAAUGAAGAGUAAUUCAAGUCUGAAUUUAUCAAUUCCAUGAAUAUUUACUAAGUACUUGCUAUUUGCAAGGCAUUAUAACAGAUAUUGGUAGUAUAAUGAUCAACUAGAAAUUUUCUCUAACCUGUAUCAAUAGUUAUUUCAUUCUAAGGUACUGAAGAACUAAUUAUAUAAUUUUUAAAUGAAGUACAGGAUACUAUGAAGAACAUUUAGCAGACAGAAAAUCUAGAAAGUAAGAGGAAGCUUCCUUGAGGAAAUUAGUUUUAAAAGACUUAACUUUAGGAAAAGCCAGCACUUAAGGCAGAGCGUACACGCUGUGCAAAAUGGAGGCAAACGAGGACUUGACAGGUUUAGGAAUUGAAAUGCCGCCAAUGUGACUACAAUACAAAGAAUGAAAAUGAUGAAAUGAGGCAGGAGAAGCAGUCAAAAGCCAGAUUAUUCAGGGUCAUGAAGAAUAAUAAAAAUUUGAAGUGUUGUAACAAUCAGAUCUGGGUCUCUUAGAGAUCACCUGGCUGGAGUAGGGGGAAAUGGCUGGAGGGGGAUUAGAGAGAAUACUUAGGAAACCAGUGAGAGAUGCCAAUAAAGUCCAGUGCAAUGAAAAGAAGAUGAAUUAAGGCAGACAGGAAGUAAAAUCUAAAGGACUUAGUUACUAACUAAAAGCUAUGAUCUUAGAAGAGGGGAUUUUUUGCUGGGUGGAUGACAGUAUAAUAAAGAUAAGGAAACAAAGAAUUGAGAAGUCAGGGUUUGAGGGAGAGGGGAAAAAUCAGUUUGAGACAUGUUGGAUACAAGGUAUCUGUGAAAAUCCAAAGAACCAAGUAGGUAAAUGAAAAAUUCAGGUCUCGGGUUCAGGAGUGAUCUGAAGAUACAGUCAGAAAGAUAGGAAAGACCGGGCGCCAUGGCUCACGCCUGUAAUACCAACACUUUGAGAGGUCAAGGUGGGCGGAUCAUCUAAGGUCAAGAGUUCGAGACUAGCCUGGCCAACAUGGUGAAACCCCGCCUCUACUAAAAAUACAAAAAUUAGCUGGGGGCAUGGUGGUGCGUGCCUGUAAUCCCAG
rnacentral:lncRNA from 10 species